AACGAACGCUGGCGGCAUGCCUAACACAUGCAAGUCGAACGAGACCUUCGGGUCUAGUGGCGCACGGGUGCGUAACGCGUGGGAACCUGCCCUUAGGUUCGGAAUAACUCCCCGAAAGGGGUGCUAAUACCGGAUAAUGUCUUCGGACCAAAGAUUUAUCGCCUUUGGAUGGGCCCGCGUUGGAUUAGCUAGUUGGUAGGGUAAAAGCCUACCAAGGCGACGAUCCAUAGCUGGUCGGAGAGGAUGAUCAGCCACACUGGGACUGCGACCCGGCCCAGACUCCUACGGGAGGGAGCAGUGUGGAAUAUUGGACAAUGGGCGAUAGCCUGAUCCCGCAACGCCGCGUGAGUGAUGAAGGCCUUAGUGUUGUAAAGCUCUUUUACCCGGGAUGAUAAUGACAGUACCGGGAGAAUAAGCACCGGCUAACUCCGUG
rnacentral:rRNA from 1 species